rnacentral:rRNA from 1 species
AUUGAACGCUGGCGGCAGGCCUAACACAUGCAAGUCGAGCGGAUGACGGGAGCUUGCUCCUUGAUUCAGCGGCGGACGGGUGAGUAAUGCCUAGGAAUCUGCCUGGUAGUGGGGGACAACGUUUCGAAAGGAACGCUAAUACCGCAUACGUCCUACGGGAGAAAGCAGGGGACCUUCGGGCCUUGCGCUAUCAGAUGAGCCUAGGUCGGAUUAGCUAGUUGGUGGGGUAAUGGCUCACCAAGGGGACGAUCCGUAACUGGUCUGAGAGGAUGAGCAGUCACACUGGAACUGAGACACGGUCCAGACUCCUACGGGAGGCAGCAGUGGGGAAUAUUGGACAAUGGGCGAAAGCCUGAUCCAGCCAUGCCGCGUGUGUGAAGAAGGUCUUCGGAUUGUAAAGCACUUUAAGUUGGGAGGAAGGGCAGUAAGCUAAUACCUUGCUGUUUUGACGUUACCGACAGAAUAAGCACCGGCUAACUCUGUGCCAGCCGCCGCGGUAA